GUGGGGAAUCUUCCGCAAUGGACGAAAGUCUGACGGAGCAACGCCGCGUGAGUGAUGAAGGUCUUCGGAUUGUAAAGCUCUGUUAAUCGGGACGAAAGAGCCUAGUGUGAAUAAUGCUAGGAAGUGACGGUACCGGAAUAGAAAGCCACGGCUAACUACGUGCCAGCAGCCGCGGUAAUACGUAGGUGGCAAGCGUUGUCCGGAAUUAUUGGGCGUAAAGCGCGCGCAGGCGGAUCUGCCAGUCUGUCUUAAAAGUUCGGGGCUUAACCCCGUGAUUGGAUGGAAACUACAGAUCUAGAGUAUCGGAGAGGAAAGUGGAAUUCCUAGUGUAGCGGUGAAAUGCGUAGAUAUUAGGAAGAACACCAGUGGCGAAGGCGACUUUCUGGACGAAAACUGACGCUGAGGCGCGAAAGCCAGGGGAGCGAACGGGAUUAGAAACCCCGGUAGUCC
rnacentral:rRNA from 1 species